CCCGUCCCCCGCCGCGGACCCGAGGCGCUGCCGGCCGCGCUUUUACCUGCCAGGGAGCCGGGUCUCUGCAGGGUGGCGGUGGCGUACAGCUCCUGGGAGUGCUUGCUGUACUGAUCGGCAGCGUGAACCAGCCGCUUGGGCUGCAUCUCCACAGUGCUUAUGCUCACAAGCUGGCAGCGGCAGAUCCCAGAAUGAUGUGGCUCUUGGCACUCCUGACUGUGCCACCGAGGCAGGAGCAGGAUGUGUGAACAUGAAACACUCCCAUGAAACAGAAGCAGAUUCUGCAGGAAGCAGGAAAGAUUUUGUUGACCUUCGUUAGGGAAGAAUUUGGCAACAUUUAUUCCAAUCCCCACUUAAAACUGGGCUACUUUCAAAGUACUGUCCUGGACAUAAUGUAGCAAGGCACAUGGGAGAGACUCUAUCAGUAUUCUGCCAUUCAGAUUUUGUGCAGUUAACACCUUUUUUAAUAGAAAAAAUAAAGAUUGAUGAAGGUGAAAUUAGAAGAGUUUGGUGAAUUUAGAUGAAAGAAUUGAAGUCUGAGAAGGGAGCACAACUGGCUUUUAUAAUUUAGCAAGGUUGAAGAACAGGAGGAAAAGAAAUAGUCAGAGGAUGGGACACGGACAAACAAGUUCAAGCUGGUCACUGAAAUUUUUGCUGAAACUUUAAAAAAGGCAUGAAGACAUCGUGGAAGCAGCCAAUCUCGUGCAAUUUGAGUUGAGGUGUCAAAACUAUACUCACUCUGCUCUUCCAAGGUUGGUUGGUAAGUUUAUUAGAAAGAGAUGAUACUAGUUCCAGCUUCAAGGAACUGGAGGACAGCCCAGGAUAGUGCCUCCUGUUCUGUAUUUGAAAUAACCUUAAUCUGUGAUGCUGGCAAAUUGAUGAUUGUUACAGGGCAGUAUCCAUCCACACAACUGCAUAAAACAAUAACUGGUGCCACCAGAAAGACCAGGCAAUAGAGUUCUCUAGAAGCAGCCAGUACCAAGAAUAAUGUGUGUAAGAACUGAUGAGUGUUACAUUUACAUUUAAAGAAAACUAGUUUCUAAUCUAAAAUGUUAGAUGAAUAUAAAGGUAAUUGUGUCUGUUAGGCGGGUGAUAAGCAGCUGGAUCAACCCAUGAAAUAUUGGUAUUGAUUUAUGAUUUUAACUAUAGGAGUGAAAGUUCUUAUUUGUAAACUGUCUGUUUGUAUACAGAGUUGACAAAUUAUCCAAGUAACUAAAAUGGCACAUGGUAAUAACAGCUAUUUAGCUAUAUGGAUAACCUUUAAUCACACAUUUAUUACUGAAAACUACUAAAAUUAUAUUAAUGCAAACUGACAAAAAGUAAAUGUAACCUUUAGACAAAUUGGGAGCAUUGCUGUAAGCAGUCUUUUUAUUAUGGCUUUUUACACCAUUAAGGUGCAGAGGGGAAAAUGAGCAUCAGUUCCUUAUGAAAAUAAUAUUUCUUCCAUUAUUCAUUGCCUACCAGAAUAAAUACAACACAGGAGACAUGACAAGUAAAACCAGGUUCAUAGGUCAGACAUUUAGCAAAGACAGAAGAAAUAUGCUGUAUUUUUAAAAAUUAUAUACAGGAAUUAUAAAGAAUAUUCCUAAAGAGUAAAAGGAUAUUUUUUAAGAAUUAAGAAGAAAAUAUUUUACAGAUAUCAUACUAAUGAUGCUGAAACAAAUAAUAUUUUCAAUCGUCUUUAUUCUAAGAAGAAUAUUACAAUAUAAAAUGUUGUGAAAGUUACUAGACAACUAAACCAAUCUUUUGAAAUUUUGUUUUGUUAACAAAAGGAUGAAAUCCCCUUUCUACUUAUAUAUUCUUUGCAUCCAGAACAUGAAGCCUCACAAGAUAUUUACAUAUUGAAUCUUUUAAUUUCAUAUAUAAUCUACACAUUUCAAUACUAAAUUACUUCUGUUGCAAUUACUUUGCAACAGAACUUUAUGUCCUGGCCCAGCCCCAAAUGUCUGCCAAACAGGUAAACCAUGAAGGGAGGCACAAGAAGCCAGAGUUAGACUAAAACUCCGAUCAGAUCCAAAAACAAGUGCUCAGUCAACUUUGGAAAUUCUAAAGGCAACUUCUUUGUUCUUUUUGGCUUUUCUAUAACCCCUCUAUUGCUCACUGCCUGCAUAUUGAAGCAAGUACCAAAUUCCCCGUCGGCACCUAUUACCAUGCAGCUGAUGCUGCUGCAGCUGAAUUGCAGACUUUUUCCUAAUGCUUGUGGCCUGUUUUGGGCAAUCUUACCAAUACUCAUGAAAAACAAAAACAUACCCCUGAAUUCCAUAUUAUUGUUCCUUUAAGCUGCCAAAAAGAUCAUCUUUCUCUCCACAAAAUGGGGAGACCGAAGCCCAGAGUAAAUUGGACCAGUAGUGAAAGUCGUCUGUGACUUAUUUAUUGCAAUUUUUUCCAAUGCAAAUGUGGCAAAUACUAGAGAAGUGACUUCACAAAUAUUCCAGGUUCUCACAUUGCAUUGAAAAAAAAGUGCAGGGGGCUUACCUAUAUGCUUUUAUUACUUGUAAAUAUUUAAGAGACUGAUUAGUCUGUCACUUAUGAGUUCAUAUCUAAGACGCUUUUAAUAAAAGAAUUCAACUGCUGAGAUGGCUUGUUUGAUAAAACAAAAUUCUACCUACUGCAGUCCUCAAAGCACUUCAAAUUUGAAAGCUGUAACACUUUAAAGUAUCAGGGCAGUGAUCCUCAUCCUGUGCAUGGGACUGUCUAGUACUUUCUGUAAAGUCUGCACAAUUAUGCACAAAAAUGUUAAACUGUAUUUGGUUAAAUAAAAGCACUAAUUUUCUCUGCUGACUCUGCUGAAACAGCAGACAAGGGAAAUGAAACCCAGAUCUCAAGUAACUAGCUGAGCUUUACAUCGGCAGAUACAGUCCUUUGAAAGUCCUUUGUUUUGGUGAGAAGGACUGAACCAUAAGAAAAUCGAGUUCUUGGCUACCUAUGCAAAUCCCUCUCUAGGAUGCCUCUACAUCACUUGUUCAAAGCUUGUUCUUUCCCAUGCCUCAUAGAUCCAGAAUCCAGUUAGUUUUCACUAAAGCUUAUGCCACUAAGUAGUCUUCCUCUUUGUGCCCAUCUAAAUCACCAUGCUCCAUGUUCAGAAAUAUUACAUAAAGAUAAAAGUCACCACUUUUGCAUUUAUUUUACCUUUCUUUUCUCUAAUUACACUAAAUUAAAUUUUGAGGGGUUCUCAACUGAGUUAUGCCAUCAUUCACUAACUCUCUUAACGUCUUUCUCUUUGAAUAGCUUAAUCUAGGCUUAAAAGCUGAUUGUAAAAUUGAGAUUUUAUAUUACUUGUACAGUGCAUCUUGGAAAUAGUCCAAUCAAAAAGCUAAAUCUGUUCUCACUGCAAAACACAGCUAAUAUGAAAAGCGAGGAAAUCAAUUUAUUUUUUUCCUCCCUGAAUAUGAAUCACAUAAAAUCUGUUCUAGACAUCACAAAAUUAAUUUUUCAUAGUGGAGAAAUGCUAAAGCUCAGAGUUGAAAACAAUAAUUUUGCUUAAGAAAGCAAUGAGAUUUAUGGCCAUUUUGAAGAAGAACAGUAUUUGCAAGUUAGCUUCAAGGCUGUCAGUGUCAAGAGCAGAGAAUUUUACUCCCCACCAUUCAGCAAAACCUCUGCUCAAAGCCAGAUCAAUGAGUGCUGGCUGGGAGGGGUCUUAGCCUUCAAUUGUUAAAAUUUGUAUCCAGAUCCUAAGAAUCUCAAUUUCAACAAUUUCUUGUGUUGAGAAAUACAGUUCAAGACAACCCUGUGCAUGACAACUGGAUAGUUUUGACUUCAAUACGAAACAGCUUUGCUGUUAGGAUGGACUGGAAUAGAAGAGAAGUGUACAGAGAGGAAGAUUAUAUCUGGCUUGUUUUCAUCAAGAAUGAUGUUCUACUCAGAGGUAAUGGUAAGGAGAAUUUGAAUAAUAUGGUAUAUUCUAUGUCCCAUGAUGAACGUGUCCAGUCCAUAAGUGAAAUAAGCAGAGGUAAUCCCACAUUUUGUUACUCCAUCAAGCUGAGGGUGGCUAUUUCUAAACAGACAUUACAAAGUAUCACAUCAAUUUAAGAAAGGAGGAAAAAAAUCAAAACUAAUAACUUAAGCCUAGCCUGGCUUCCAAAGUUAAAAAUGUGCUAAUAAUUUAAAGGGAAAGUAUGUAAAUGCACAUGAUUUUAAUAAGGUUUCACAGAGCACAAUUUCUUUCACACAGUAAAAAAAAAAAAAAAAGGUAGAUCUAAUACAUCUGGAAUUCCAUUGGGCAUUUACCCCAUUAUCAGAUGACAGGACCAAGUUAAUAGAUUCAAAAAAGAGUGGGAAACAGUACACAGUUUGAACACUGUGCAUAAAAAGAGCCAGACAAGAGACAAUUGGCAGUGUUAAACUGAGGCUGAGCAAGAGAGACACAACCCAGCAUUUCCCAAAAGUCAGUCUUGAGGGAAUACAGUUUUCCACAGAAGUAUGCAAGACAAUUGAGGCAGUUUGAAAAUGAGGCAAGAUCAGUACCUGAAAUGUAUUAAAGCAGUUCUUUAGUAUCAGGUAAGACUGGGCUUCUUGACCUCUAAAACUAAAUACUACUAAAAAUUGGAUGUGAAAUGUCGGUGAUACACACUAAUAGUGGCCAAAAGUUUUCUGUCCUAUUUUUCUAAAGGCACUGUUUUCACCAUGGCAGAUAAGAAAUGUUUGAAAACAUUUUCUUCUGCAGCACUGUGAGCCCAUAACAGCUUUAAAAUUUCUGUAUUACAGGUAAAGACUGCCUUCUCAAGAUUGACAUCUCCUAUGAAGUCCUCUUUACAAGAGCAGGAGUGCUUUCAAGAAGUAAUACAUAAUUAAAAUAACCUGCACAAGAAUCCAGGUUGUGCUCUCUCACUGAGUGACUCGCGUGUGUGCCAGGUCACUCCCAGGCAGCUGCAGGGCACAGAGCUGGAGACGCUGACACGAGGUGACCUCGGUGUGACAGCAGCACCCUCACCCGCCUUUUCACAGGGCGAGCUGAGCUGGUGCUGGUGGAAUCCAGAAAUACCCAAGUGCAGGAGUGAGCGUAUCAGCAGCAGCAGGAGAAAGAGUUCAAGGGUUCCCUGGUUUAUCUACAGGAGGAAAACCUCUCCUAUGGCACAUGUUUUUUCUGCACAUAUUGGGAGGCCUGACUGCCUAGUUAAUUCUUUUCCACUCCAACCAAAAACUUCAAUGUUCCUGCUGCCCAGCACCUGUACUCAAAGAGCUGUAUUUCUAAAAACCUUUAACCUGAGUUACUUGGGGCAGUUUUUUUAGAUUUUUUUGUGUUUCCUUUUUUUCAGAAUUAUUAUCUCCUCCUCCCGUCUCCUGCCUAUUACAAUAAGCAUUAAUGGAACCUAUGACAAGAUCAAGUGAAUAAAUAUCCAGUGAAUAAAUAUAUUUAUUGCAAACAAUAAUGCAUCCUUUUAUUUCUUCCUCAGCAGAUUUUAGGUUCAGAUUUUACUCAGAUAAGUACAAGUUGAAGAAGGUAGAUCACUAUGCAAGUGAGGUUGUCCAUCAAACGUGAGAUUAAAAAUGUUGGUAUAUUAAGCAACUUCAUUCCAAGUAUAUGAAGCAGGUAUAUUUUGCUCAUGGCAGUACUUAGAUUUGACACGUAGGUUUAACGCUUGUAAACCCAGAGCCAAUGGUGCUUAGAAAAAGGAUGUGGUUUAUUGUGACUUGUACAGUGUGCUUGGCAUUACUGCCAGUGUCCUCCUAACCAGGACAUCAUAUGUGAGAAGGCCUGGCUGCAUUUAAAAUCCAGUCUCAAAUUCAUUGCAGGAAAAAGAGAAGGUAAAUGCAAUCCCCAUGUUUGCUUCGAAACUGUGAAAGUAUAAUCUGGA